GUGCGAAGGUAGGUGGACAGACUGCAUUGCUUGUUGUUGCGCUUCGGAGGCGGCGAUCCCCGAAGGCGAGCUGAAAUACGGCUGGAGCGUUCCCAGGCUACAGUUUGUAGCCGACGAUUGUGGAAGACUAGGAGCCGGAGAGGUGGCCCACCCUCAGGGAGCGCUUGUGCUCGGAGGGCUUCUCAUUUCCCCAAUACCACAUUAAAUCGUCUCAUCUGAGGAGGAUCCACAGAGCUGUCUUCUAUGGUAAUCUGGAGAAACUGGAGUACCUUCUGCUCACGUAUCAUGACACCAAUGAGAGAGACAAGGAGGAAAGCUUACCCUGAAAGAAGCAGAUCCCAGUUCAAAAGUAGCCAUAAGAAGGAAGGAUUCACCACCUCCAGGAAAAGGU
rnacentral:lncRNA from 1 species